GUAAGUAAAAGAUAUCUUGUUUUUUAUAAGUGUUUAUGUUAUUGUAACGGGGUUGUGGUAUAGAUAAAGUUUCAACUUCAAGAUUAUAAACAAAAUUUAAGAAAUUAUUGGUUUGUUUGUAGAAAUCUUGUCCCGUAAAAUUUGAAUAUCACGAUAGUGAGUUGCCGUCACACAUUCAAUUUUCAAAGAAGGAAAUUAAAAUACUAAAUAUUUAUUGGUGUGCCUCUCACCCACGAUUUGGCUCUAGAGGUGUUAAAUGAUGGUAACUAGUCCGAAAUAGAAGAUUUAGAUGGCGAAAAUGAUGUUGCUUUUGACGUUGAAAUGUUUAAAAAUAACACCGAUGACAAGGAUAUUGAAGAAACUGUAUUAGAAGAAGAACCUGUAUUGAAUGAAGAACCUGUUCCUUCAACGAGCUCUUCUUCAGCAAA
rnacentral:lncRNA from 1 species